rnacentral:rRNA from 1 species
GAUGAACGCUGGCGGCGUGCCUAAUACAUGCAAGUCGAGCGAACAGACGAGGAGCUUGCUCCUCUGACGUUAGCGGCGGACGGGUGAGUAACACGUGGAUAACCUACCUAUAAGACUGGGAUAACUUCGGGAAACCGGAGCUAAUACCGGAUAAUAUAUUGAACCGCAUGGUUCAAUAGUGAAAGACGGUUUUGCUGUCACUUAUAGAUGGAUCCGCGCCGCAUUAGCUAGUUGGUAAGGUAACGGCUUACCAAGGCAACGAUGCGUAGCCGACCUGAGAGGGUGAUCGGCCACACUGGAACUGAGACACGGUCCAGACUCCUACGGGAGGCAGCAGUAGGGAAUCUUCCGCAAUGGGCGAAAGCCUGCCGGAGCAACGCCGCGUGAGUGAUGAAGGUCUUCGGAUCGUAAAACUCUGUUAUUAGGGAAGAACAGAUGUGUAAGUAACUAUGCACGUCUUGACGGUACCUAAUCAGAAAGCCACGGCUAACUACGUG